rnacentral:rRNA from 1 species
UACGAAGGGGGCAAGCGUUGUUCGGAAUUACUGGGCGUAAAGGGCGCGUAGGCGGCCUGCUAAGUCGAACGUGAAAUCCCCGGGCUCAACCCGGGAACUGCGUCCGAUACUGGCAGGCUUGAAUCCGGGAGAGGGAUGUGGAAUUCCAGGUGUAGCGGUGAAAUGCGUAGAUAUCUGGAGGAACACCGGUGGCGAAGGCGGCAUCCUGGACCGGCAUUGACGCUGAGGCGCGAAAGCCAGGGGAGCAAACGGG